rnacentral:rRNA from 1 species
UAGUCCAUCAGUGUCAGUAUAUUAUUAGUAAUCUGCCUUCGCAAUUGGUAUUCUAUGUAAUAUCUAUGCAUUUCACCGCUACACUACAUAUUCUAACUACUUCAUAAUAACUCAAGAUAACCAGUAUCAAAGGCAAUUCUACAGUUGAGCUGCAGGAUUUCACCUCUGACUUAAUUAUCCACCUACGGACCCUUUAAACCCAAUGAUUCCGGAUAACGCUUGGAUCCUCCGUAUUACCGCGGCUGCUGGCACGGAGUUAGCCGAUCCUUAUUCUUACAGUACCGUCAAGCUGCUACACGUAGCAGUGUUUCUUNNUGUA